AACUUUCAACAACGGAUCUCUUGGCUCUCGCAUCGAUGAAGAACGCAGCGAAAUGCGAUACGUAAUGUGAAUUG
rnacentral:rRNA from 1 species